CCUGGAAUCGUUUAUGUUCCAAAUGAUUUAUCGCCGUAGGAUGGGACUGCGGCCUAUCAGUUUGUUGGUGAGGUAAUGGCCCACCAAGACUAUUACAGGUACGGGCUCUGAGAGGAGUAGCCCGGAGAUGGGUACUGAGACACGGACCCAGGCCCUAUGGGGCGCAGCAGGCGAGAAAACUUUGCAAUGUGCGAAAGCACGAUAAGGUUAAUCCGAGUGGUUUGUGCUAAACGAACCUUUUGACAGUCCUAGGAACACUGUUGAAUAAGGGGUGGGCAGGUUCUGGUGUCAGCCGCCGCGGUAAAACCAGCACCUCAAGUGGUCAGGAUGAUUAUUGGGCCUAAGGCAUCCGUAGCCGGCUCUGUAAGUUUUCGGUUAAAUCUGUACGCA
rnacentral:rRNA from 1 species